rnacentral:rRNA from 1 species
CUACGGAGGGUGCAAGCGUUAUUCGGAAUCACUGGGCGUAAAGGACGCGUAGGCGGGUUGGCAAGUCAGAUGUGAAAUCCUACAGCUUAACUGUAGAACUGCAUUUGAAACUGCUAACCUAGAGUAUGGGAGGGGGAGAUGGAAUUAGUGGUGUAGCGGUAAAAUCCGUAGAUAUCACUAGGAAUACCGAAAGCGAAGGCGAUCUCCUGGAACAUAACUGACGCUAAGGCGUGAAAGCGUGGGGAGCAAACAGGAUUAGAAACCCUAGUAGUCC